rnacentral:lncRNA from 1 species
CAUGAAAUAUUUAUUUUUUUAAAUAAUCAAAUCGUCUAAUUAUUUAUUAUAUAUUUUUAUUAAAUAUUUUGAACUUUAAAUUUUUUGAGAAAAAAAGCAGCAGACUAUCUAAUUCAUUUAUUAGAGGGAGGAAUUAAACAAUAAAGGUGAGGUAAUAAACUUCAGUCAAAACGCAAAUAAACAAUGAAGUGGGAAAAAACAGAAAAAUUUUUUUUAAGAAAAAGGAUGGUUAGAGGAAAGAAAUUUUUUUCAUUGGAAGACCAAUCGCUUGAUCUUGUCAACUGCCAAAAAAGG